UACGAAGGUCCCAAGCGUUAUCCGGAUUUAUUGGGUUUAAAGGGUGCGUAGGCGGGCUAUUAAGUCAGUGGUGAAAGCCCCAGGCCUAACCUGGGAACUGCCAUUGAUACUGAUGGCCUUGAGUACAUUUGAGGUGGGCGGAAUGUGUCAUGUAGCGGUGAAAUGCUUAGAUAUGACACAGAACACCGAUUGCGAAGGCAGCUCACUAAACUGUAACUGACGCUGAGGCACGAAAGCGUGGGGAGCAAACAGG
rnacentral:rRNA from 1 species